rnacentral:rRNA from 1 species
UAAAAAAAACCAAGGCAGGUGGUGGAGGGGAGGCGACCAAAAUCGCAGUGCUGUCUUGGUUAGGGAGCGAUCGGGAUGGAGGAGAGGGCAGAGGUCAGCGUCGGCGGCGGCCGCGGCGUGGGGUUAGGUUGGGGCGGCGGCCGCUAGAGGAGCGGGGGGACACGGCAGCGGGGGUUGGAAGAUAAGGAGAGGGUUCCGUAUCCUUCCCUUCCGUUCCGUUCCCUUCCCUCUCCCUCGCGAGUCUAGGUGCCGCCGUAGUCGCGCGGCAGGAGCUGGACUAGGCGCAGGCAGGUGCCUACCCUCGGCCGCGUCCUUUAGGGGCAGGGGCGCAGGCUCGGGGCGAUGGGAGGCGUUGCCGAGCUGGCGGGUAGCUGCGCGACGGGGGCGCCGCGGGCUGGUCAAGCCGAAAGCGCCGACCACCUGCGCGGGAACGACAACGGCUGCGGCCGAGCGACGCGGCGUGACCGGGAGUGUUCGCAGAAGACAGUUACUACCUGAACUCUCCAGUUCCUCAAAGGUAACCCUGUAGCCCUGUACGAGGAGGUAGAGGAGGCCACCUGCUGUAGGUUGUAGCGGUCCAUCUAAUGACAAAAACGUUUAAGGUCAAGAACUACAAAUUUUGACCUACUAGACGUGGGUUGGGGAGAUAACAAGAUAAAGACGAAUUUAGACUAAACCAACAAGUCAAGUACGUGAAUACCUGACUUCUUUUUUUACCUUUACUUCUUCUUUUCUUAUCGUUAUAAUAGUAUACGCUCCAAACGAAAAUUGGAACCAAGGAUUGGUUAUAAACGAAGUAUUAAGACGGCUCUCUAAGUGUGACAGUAAGUAUAAUACUUAUAUCAAGUAUUGGUCAUAAGAGAAAAUAGAUUAAUAUACAUGUCUUUCCUCAUUAGACUUCACUUAAGUACGAUACAAUUGUCAGAUUGUUUGUAGAACCUCCACACUUACGAAAGAACCCAGACUGUUCAUUAGUUAUUAACUACCAUAUGACCCUAAAAAGAGUAUGAAGAUCGUGAAGGAGUAACUGUUAUUUCGUUCAUCAUAGUGUUGUUUCCGAUAGGUCCAUAAAAAAAAGUUGAUAUUAGGAAGGUCGAAAUCCCUGACGAGUUAACCUAGACGUGUUAGGUUGUUUUAUUUACACGUAUCAGAGACGCUGUGAAAGUAGGCUAGUAGUGCUUCCAUCAACAUCCUCAUUUUUUCAUACAGUAUGACAAAAAAGUCAAGUUCGGUUUUCCGAUCCUGUCCAUUAUGAACAAAAAUGUCAUGAACACGUUUUUCAUACAGUAUGACAAACGAGAUCUACUAAAACUACUUAAAAUGUUGGAAUAAAAGUCAACAAAUGUCCAGACGAAAGUACCCCAAAUAACUUAGGUCCUUUCUUGACACUCAUCAUCGCUUGGUCUGUACUUUUCAAAGUCUCUUGAUGCUUUUGAGGCCAGUCAAAACAGCCAUAGAACACUGUGUCAAGGUCCUGAGAUAACUGAUUCCUUUACUAUAUAUACACACUAAAUAGGACAAUUUUGAAAAUCACAAGUGAAUCCCCACUCACGUUGGUCAUUGACUUAAAUCUGAUGCUUGAUCUCAUACUGUCAUUUCAGUCCUCGUACUACCUCUUGUGUGCCCUGUAACUCCUGAUUACCAGUUGUGAAUUUAGAACGAAAUGUAUGUCAAGUCAAGGUUCAUCAGACUAUGUAUCUACCGCUCCCCUCACGACUAAACCCCAACUAAAACCAUUAACAUAUAAAAGGAACUACUGACAGUAAAACAACAGGAUGUACACGAUAUACUAUACGUAUUGUUGAACUCUCGUGGAAACGAAGAGAACUACACGAAGCAGUAUGUCAAAAAAUUUCACGUGUUCGUUCGAACGCUCACUACUGUUGAUGAUACUGGAUGUUGGAACUUAGAUCCAAAAACCCCAACUUGUAUCCCCGUGUCGCGCGAGAGGGUAGAUUGGUCACUUCGCAUUACUUCCUUUUCGAUGUUAUAUGUUUAGCAGUGGCAGUAAGUCAAACAGGUUUUGACUCUUUUCGAGAAAUUUUUUUGACCCUUUUCGAGUGCACUACCUUACUCUACUCUAAAGUUGUAGUACUAACGCAAAAUAUUAAACUUGCUGGUUUCAUCUACCAGGGCAGUCGGGCACAAACUGUUAUACUUCCCUGUUUGAACAACUAGGUAAUAAAACGGUCCUUUUAUGUUAUUAAGCCUCCCGAAUUUAUACCUAUUAUCUAGACUGUAUUAGAUCGUUCCACUCACUGAGUUAACGUGUACACGUUUUACCUUCAAAUUUGAAGGAACUUAGAGAACAUCCCAAACCCCCUCUAACAGUCGCUCGGUGACUACUUUCAGGAAAACGCUACUGUUACGAUCUCUUCUAAACUUUCUAGAACCAACCGCACCCCGUUGAACACAUAAGGACCUACCCCCGCGGCAGGCCACCGUCACCCCACACCGUCAACGGCGUCGACCCGUGUUGGCCCUCAGGUGGAUAGGUCUUGUGGGUUGAUAAAGUAGGCCACUUGACGCUUCUCGAAGAUAUUAAUCGUGUUUAGACUUUCGUAUAUACGUCGAGGGUCUACAACGUCCGAUCUCCUUCCCGUCCGUGAGUACGCUAUGGUACAUAGACCAACCUGCGCGGCCCACACCCCUGUGACGUCCUGUACAAACUAAUAGUACAGUCACUUAAGACCGCUCUUACUUGGUUCACUCGAAAACAUCGACCAGAUAAGUUUUACCUACUUGCCUGGUCAAUCACAUGUAUAUUCAAACGUGAGACAGAAGGACGAGUAAGCACGUUACACAAGUACCCUCUGAAUAAAAUCCUUUUGUAUUUUAUUAAAAAGAAAGACACGCAUGAUGAGGUCGAAAGUUCACGGUCCGAAGUUAUUUAGACUUUAAAGAUAGCGAGCUAAACGUCACAAAUAAAAUGCCAAUG